GUUUCUUGCCAACGGUACCAAACAUUUAGAUUCUAGAUCUAGAUUUUGAUUGUACUAAAAUUAAAGUUAGUCUUUUGGACUGUUGGGGCUCCAGGCAAGACUCGUCUACUGUCUUUCUCCAUUCCUGCCUGGUCGUGCGGUUUGCGCCCUGGACUGUUGUUCAGAUUUAUCGAAGGUCCGGGUUCAAAACCCUGCCCGCUCCCACCACCCGUCGUCCUGGAGGAGGUUUGGACUAGGAAGUAAUUAUCUUCAACUCUGAGGGAACAUCCGAAACAUAGACCAGAGUAAAGAGUUUUCGGUGAAGUGUUUCACGCAUGUAACAAUUUGUUUUG